AGUUUGGCCUUAUUUUCUAGCAAAAACUCAUUGCUUAGCUGCAUUUAAUAAUCCAUGGGACAUUUCUAUUAACUUCAGUGUGUGAAUUGUGUGACUGCAGAAUGGGUAAAAAAAAAAUAAAGUGAGAAUCAGGAAUACAAAAUAUGCAGAAAAUGAAAAUAAGUGAGAUGUUAAAUAUUUGAUCAAGGCCUUUAUUUUCAGGUAACCAGUUGCCAUCUUGGGGUCUCAAAUGCCAACAGAAGCCACAGAAUACUAUUCUGAAUUAUUAAAGUGACUAGGAGAACCUUGUUUCUUUUUACUAGCGUAUGUAGCCUCUCAAGCUAACCUUUGCUUAAACAUUUAACAUAGACAUUGGGUGAAAUAUAAAAAAGCAAAAGUUCUCAGUCUAAUACUCAACCUGUAAUUAUAAAUCAGAUUACAUAAUACAGCUCAGCCAUUUCAUUUUAUUUUUCUGUGUUCCAACAAUUUUUUUCAGUUUGAGAGAAACCUAACCUAGAUUAGUUGAAAGUCCGCAUUCUAGAAUAUUUUUAUCUGUAUGUGUACUGAAUAUAUUUUUCAUUUGCUCAAUUCAAUGCAUUCAUUCAUUCAACAGAUAUUUAUUGAAUAUCAGGUGCUAGGCACUGUUGUGGGUGUGAGGACAUAUCAGGGAACAAAAUAUAUAAAGAUUCAGCCACUCUUGGGCCCUACACUUCCACGAGGGAGACAGAUAAUGAGCAAAAUAUCCUCCAAUGAUAGGUAGUAAGCACUACAAAAGGGGUUGUAUGGGAGUAUUUUUGUUUGUUAAGUGGAGCUGUCUAUUAGAAAGCUAAUGAAUUGGGAAAGUUACCCUAAGAGUGGGCGGUGUGUUAUUUAGGUCAAUGAGGACAGCAGCACCAUGGUUCUAGAUGCAAAUAGGCCCAGUGUGUCCAAGGAACAGCAACAGAGUCAAGGAAACCAGAGAUGAGAAUGGCUGACAGCUGGAGCACUUGUCAGGGCAGAUCCUUGAGGGCCUUGCACACCAGGGGGAGGACUGGAGAUUUUACUCUAAUUGUGGUGGAAGCCACUGGAAACUUUUGAGCAGAGGAGUGUUAUAAACUGAUUCAUGUUUUAAAAGGAUAAUUUUAGCUCAAUAGUAAGUAUAGCCAUGAAGCCAAAUUGACAAAGUGAAGGUUUUCUAGUGAGGACCUGCUUUGAUGCUUGUAUAAGAAAGAUCUGGCAUGAGCACUAUCUGUUCACUGUUUGUAAGAAAAUACCUGGCCGGGCACGGUGGCUCAUGCCUGUAAUCCCAGCACUUUAGGAGGCCAAGGCGGGUGGAUCACCUGAGGUGAGGACCAGCCUGGCCAACAUGGUGAAACCUUGUCUCUUCUAAAAAUACAAACAUUAGCUGGGCGUGGUGGCGAGCGCUUGUAAUCCCAGCUACUUGGGAAGCUGAGGCAGGAAAAUCACUUGAACCUGGGAGGCGGAGGUUGCAGUGAGCCAAGAUCACGCCACUGCCCUCCAGCCUGGGCUACAAAAGUGAAAUUUCAUCUCAAAGAAAAGAAAAGAAAAUGCCCAUCUGCUGAAGUAGUUGCAGUGACUGAAAAGUUUGCCCUCUUUGGUCAUUUGAAAAGUCCACCAGUCUCCCUUUUACAUUUUACUUUUACCCACCCAAAGCUUGCUUUUCCUCAGCGACAAGUCAGAAGUCAAGGUUAGAAUUGGUUCAUCCAAAUACAGAGGCUGCCCCAGUCUACGGCCUCAUCACAAUCCAUCCACAAGCAAGCUUUCCAGAAUGGCCUCAGGUCCAUCCCAGGACUGUGACUCUCAGCCAUCUGCACAUUGCUUACUGCCCAAAGAGUUCCUCCUGAAACUUCAUCAGCACACCGUUAAGUGAUAGAAGGAAACUGCAGAAUAGUGUUAUAUUUUAGCCAGAUCUCAUUUUAGUAAUGACAUUUUUAUGCCUAGAAAUAAGUUUUAAAUGUUCAAAAAUAUGAGCUAAGUGGUCAGUUCCAGCUUUUAUCCCUGUAGAGACCUCUCCUGCAGCCUUGGGUGGGAUGAUUCCAAGGCAUGCUCUUCACACAGUUUUCUAGGAUUUUCCCCUAGGAUUAAGCCCUAAACGUCUAUUAUAGUAGCUGGCUUAAUCUUUUAUUGAGCUCCCCUUUUCUUCCCUGUAUUGCUUCUUCAUUACUCUGCUGGUGUUCCAUGUACCUCUCAAAUAACUACUUGCAUUAAUUCUUACCUCAGGAUCUGGUUCUGAGGGACUCAAGCUGAGACAUCCUCUAUGUAAAAUCUUCCUCCUUCCUGAGGUGGCAUUAGGUGGCCACCUUCCUUGAGCCAUAAUGGCAGAUAGGAUCCAGGAGAAAUGAAACUUACCAAUAAAGGAGAGAUCUGAAAAUAUUAUUCCCAUUAUACCCAUAAUCCAGUAGUCUUUUUGUGAGCUUAAGCAAGUACAAGACUUGCAUUUAGGUAUUCCUCCUUCUAAAAAAUUAGGAGGUAGUUGCCUCUCCAAAAUGGAUUUUUCAGCCAUUGCGUCUUCACCGCUUAGGUUAGGUAAAGCUUGGCUAUUAUAUGAGGUUCUUACCUUCCAGCACAAGGGGAUGCUACUUUUUUUAAAAAAUAUUUUUAUUUCCAUAGGUUAUUAGGGAACUGGUGGUAUUUGGUUACAUGAGUAAGUUCCUUAGUGGUGAUUUGUAAGAUUUUGGUGUACCCAUCACCCGAGCAGUAUACAUUGAACCCAAUUUGUAGUCUUUUAUCUCUCACUCCCUUCCCAUUCUUCCCCUCUGAGUCCCCAAAGUCCACUGUGUCGUUCUUAUGUCUUUGCAUCCUCAUAGCAUAGCUCCCACUUAUGAGAAUAUACCAUGUUUGGUUUUCCAUUCCUGAGUUACUUCACUUAGAAUAACACUCUCCAAUCUCAUCCAGUUGCUGUGAAUGCCAUUAAUUCAUUCCUUUUUUCUUGCCUAGGAAACCAGGCUUCCUCCUAGACCAAGCUUUAGUCUUCACUACCUCAGGCAAAGAAAGCUUCCCUUGCAUGAGGAAGUCAUUGCCCAGCCUCUUCUCUGCUCUCUGUGUGCAGCUUCUCCCUCCCUGGCCUAGGGCCCUGACCCAGAAUGACUCUUCAGCCCACGAUUUUAAUCGAAGGCCUCUAAUCAACCUGUGGUACUACAUGCUACACAAGAUUCUCAGAAAUCCCUAAGCUUUCUCAUGAGUCUCCCACCCUGCUGGGAAACAAGCUGACUUAUCAAUUAAAGAAUAUCCAAAGAUGUUAAGCCACUUAAUCCUCCCCAAAACUCAGUGUGGUAGGGGUUGUUACCUCCCAUUAUACGAAAGGAAAGUGAGGCUUGGGAAGUAAAGAGACUUGUCCAAGAUCACCUUCUGGAGCCACAUUUUACACCACAGGUAAGAGAAAAGGGAACCAAGAGGGCACGGACACUGUGUCUUCAGACUGAGUGGGGAAGUACCAUUUACCUGGGUACUUAUUGGGUGCAAGUUGCAUGCCCCCAGUGCUAAUACACAAGGGACAAAUUUAUGGGCCUCCUAAAACUGUGGACAGUGCACCCGUCCAGCCAACUUCAUGGGUGCACCGUGAGGCUCUGGUGAUAUGGACAGGCUUAUAAAACACUCUACAUACUAAGAUGAGGUUGUGUUCCUGUGUCUAGGAAAUGCUGGAAAUUAAGUGUACAGCAAUCAAAAAACCUUGACAUCAUCCUUGAUGUCUCUCUUUUUCACACACUCCAAUUCACUCCAUUAGGAAACUGUAUUGGCAGAAUCUAGUGAAUCUUGUCCUUCAAGGCCUCUCUCUGCAAGGCUCCCCUGAGCCCUGGGGGCUUAUGGAGAGUUCUGGGUGGGCAGAGGAAGCCAGACUGCAUUAGGGAAGCAAAUUUGGGACCUAAAUUUCCUAAGAAGGUUUUAGGGGAUAGGGACCCCAAUCUCUAAGACCCCAGGAUUCUGUUAAGAUUUAUUUUCUCAUUCCAAAUAAAUGUUCACUGGCAAGCCCUAA
rnacentral:lncRNA from 1 species